CGCCCAUUCUCAUUUUUGCUCGAAUCUGCUUUCCAGACCAAUUGUAGCUUGAGGAAUGCACACAUAUCUUAAUAAUUGAAUAGCUGGCCCAUUUCACAAUAGGACCCUCAUGCCCAUUACUUUGAAAACCUAGCCCAUCACUUGGUUUUGUUCACUUAGAAGCUUUCAUGGUUGUGAGAGUAAGCUGCCACCACCCCUUCCUUGCUCUGAGAGGCUCGACCCCGUGAGAGGAGAAGGGCCGACAUGCUGCUCAUCGCCGACGUCACCAGACGAGAAACGUCGAUGUCCGCCUCUACUUGGAAACAAACGACACUGAGAAAAAGCGUCCAUCUUGUUCGCCAACUUGUGUGCUUGGAUUUGGUUGGUCCUCGAGGAGUCUGGUUUCUUUUACAAUCUGGUUAGGCCUCGUUCUUCGAAGUGUAUAGGGAUAUGUUCGUCCCCAUUUGCUUCUGAUCUAGGACCAAGUUCAUGCCUCCCAAGAAAUCAAAGAGUGUUAAGGAAGAGGAAAAAGGUCGACUAUACCAAAAAGAGCUUGUUGAAAUCUUUAGCUCGGAUGGUUUUGUAACACCGAGAUCAAUCUUUUCUACAAGUGUGUCCCAUUUAAUAGAUAAGUAUUGACUUAUUGGCGAAGUCAGGCUUAGAGUCCCUGUUAAUGAUGAAUAAGUAGGCUCCCCACCAGAUGGGUAUACCGCUUGGAGUCCCAUGCAUUGCCUAGCAGGUGCCUUCCUUCUGCUUCAUUCGUACUUUGUGGAAAUAUGUGACUAUUUUGGAAUAGCCCCAUUCCAAUAGAUGCCGAACAGUUACAAAUUAUUGGUACUGAUGCGUAUUCUGUAUAGAGUGUUAGACUGGCCUCCCUCUGAUGCUUUGGAGGUUCACUACUUGUUCAAUAUCAAGUCCAAUCGUGUAUCGGGUUAUGAAGGAUUCCACCACUUGUUUAGCUAUUAUGGUGGAGAAGUUCUUAGGAGUGGUGUUUCCAACCCUGGUCGCAAAUUUAGUAAAUAAUUUUUUACCAAUGCCCUCUAGUCUGAGCAUAGGUCAUUCUGUGACAUUGGUAAGUAUCUGAUCAUUUCCCUUCAAAUAGUUGUCUUUUUGCUUCCUUCACGUUAAGCUCAUUAUGUUCGCUUAACUUGUUGUUUUAGGUCGUUAUAGGCGACUGAAUCCAACCUCUGAGAUGCAAGAGCAUCUUUCUCAGUUACAUCGAUUAGGUAGAAAGUAUAGGAAUGCAUCUUUCCUUAUCAAUGAUGACAAUUUACGAUUGGUCGGUCUACUCGAACCACACUAGUCAUUGGAUCAUCUAUUGCCGCCUCCAGAGUUUGACUAUGCUCCCUUUUCUGAAGUUCAAGAGUCUAUACAUGAUAGGCGAUCAGAAGAGGAUUUUAUUGUUUGUGACGAGCCUGAGUCAGUUCACUUUGAGGUUUCAUCUGCUUGUUCUUCUCAAGCAAUCUUUGUUCUAGGUUGCCCAACUGUUCAGAGUUUGACUUAUCGCAAGUCCCUUCCCUUCUGAAAAUUUUAGUGACGAGGGAGGUCUUGGUCUAUCCCUCAGAAAUGAGGAACUAUCCCUCCCUCAUUGGUUAAAUAAAUACUUUCUAGAGGACACUUUUACUGAUAAUCCUUCUAGUAUACUAUUUUUUCUUAACCGCAUUAUUACUGAUAUAUAUUUUUUGCAUCUUAUCUGACCAUUUUUCUUUCGGCGGGAGACAUGAAUGCUCGAGCUUUGUUCGGUGGCCCUAAGGUUGUAGGUGCAAGGGCUAACAAGAGGACGAAGCAGCUAGCGAACACGAAUAAGGGGACCUUUGCAGAGUCUUCUUCUGUUUGUUUAGGCCAGAGUCGACCUCUAGCUGGGGUUACACCGCUAGCCCUUGCAAGAACUGCUAGUAUGGUUCCCAUGACCCGAUCAUUAUCUCCUAUAUUACCUUCUCAUGUUCAAAUGGUGGUACCUAGAUUUGAAGAGGUCAUCCAGAGUGACCAGAUGCAGGCAAAAUAGUUUUUCUCUCGAAUUUGCGUCCCUCGUAAGAUCGUUUGCCAUUCUAUUGCCAACACUAUUCAGAAAAUGAUCACCUUGACCAACCUAUCUGAAUCUUUCGAGUAGUUGAAGAAGGAUAAGAAAGAUACAUGCCGUGCCCUCAUGUCUGAGAUAGACACUAUUCAUGGUGAGAGGAACAGUUGUAAGACUGAGUUUGAGCAAAUCAAAAGUUCUUCUUAUACCAAGAUCAAUCAACUAAAGGCUGAGAUUGACCGUCUUUAGAAGUCUCAUGCUGCUGAGGUUGAGCAACUUAAGACUGAUGUGGAAGCUGAUCGCCUACAAACCCUUGAAGAAGGAGAGAUCUUAAAUAACAUGUUCUUUCAGGUCUGGAAACACGACUGCAUUGUUAAUUUAACAUUUUUGAAUGGCAGAGAGAAGUCCCUACUAGAGGCUUUCGAACAGAGACUUGUUGAUGAAGAAAACUCUUAUGUUCGUACCUCCUUAGUACAUCUGAGAGAUGGUGAUGUUUCAAGGCUUGAAGAUCUCGCUACCAGCACUUCUACUGACCCUUUAGCUGCCUCGGGUGACCAGACCCUUGAGCCAGAGUCUUGAUAGCUUAGUCUCUAGUGCACCUUAUGUUGGAGUAUUUUGUACUUUCAUACUCUUGACUCUUUGUUUUCUUUUGUAGUUUGUACUUGCAUGCCGACGACCAAACCAUUUUUCCUUUUGUUUUUAGUGUGAACAGACUAGUUUCCUUUAGUGCAUGAUACAAAUAGAGGUUUUUUACAUGUACCAGCGAACAAACUAGUUUGGCUUUUGUGCAUGAUGCGAACAGAGGCCUUUUACAUGUACCAGCGAACAUACUAGUUUGCCUCUUGUGAAUGGAAAUUAGCUAUGGUGGCGGGAAAGGUUCUUGGCAGGUCGGGGAUAUGUAUUAAGACGGAAUGGAAUCGGUGGACUGAGUGUUUGAUUCGAGGAUGAAGUCGCUUCCUAAUCUUUUAAAUUUUUUGCUUUAUAUGUAUUUUCUGCACUGAAUUUUGUAACCCAUUUAUUUAAAGUUAUGUUAUAUUUUUUAAAAACAAUAGGAUCCCAUAUCCUACUUUGAAUUUUAUGUAGUUUAACAUUUGUUUUACAAGUUUUAAUGAAAUAAUGUUUAUUUCAUAUGUACGUUUUCUUAAGGAUUAGUGUCUAUGUAUAGUAGUCAUUAAUGGUCCAAAGUCUAGAGUAGUUGGGUCGUUACAGUUGAUAUCAGAGCAACGGUUCAUCUGCAUGAAGUUCUCCUCGAUACACAGACUCAAAGCUCUGAAUCUGACCGCCAAAAUUCUGCUGCGAUG